rnacentral:tRNA from 1 species
GGCCUGGUGGCUCAGUUGGUUAGAGCGCCGCCCUGUCACGGCGGAGGUCGUCGGUUCGAACCCGAUCCGGGUCG